UGGGGAAUAUUGGACAAUGGGGGGAACCCUGAUCCAGCCAUGCCGCGUGUGUGAAGAAGGUCUUCGGAUUGUAAAGCACUUUAAGUUGGGAGGAAGGGCAGUAAGCGAAUACCUUGCUGUCUUGACGUUACCGACAGAAUAAGCACCGGCUAACUCUGUGCCAGCAGCCGCGGUAAUACAGAGGGUGCAAGCGUUAAUCGGAAUUACUGGGCGUAAAGCGCGCGUAGGUGGUUCGUUAAGUUGAAUGUGAAAGCCCCGGGCUCAACCUGGGAACUGCAUCCAAAACUGGCGAGCUAGAGUAGGGCAGAGGGUGGUGGAAUUUCCUGUGUAGCGGUGAAAUGCGUAGAUAUAGGAAGGAACACCAGUGGCGAAGGCGACCACCUGGGCUCAUACUGACACUGAGGUGCGAAAGCGUGGGGAGCAAACAGG
rnacentral:rRNA from 1 species